rnacentral:rRNA from 1 species
GGGUUGUGAGGUUAAGCGACUAAGCGUACACGGUGGAUGCCCUGGCAGUCAGAGGCGAUGAAGGACGUGCUAAUCUGCGAUAAGCGUCGGUGAGGUGAUAUGAACCGUUAUAACCGGCGAUUUCCGAAUGGGGAAACCCAGUGUGUUUCGACACACUAUCAUUAACUGAAUCCAUAGGUUAAUGAGGCGAA